AGGACUAUGUCAAAAAGAAACCGAAGUUGAUAAGUGCAAGUGAUGAAGCAAGUACAAUUACCUCUAAGUCUUCUGAACCAGAAGAAGUGAACCCUAUAGCCUGGGCAGUUCCUACAAAACAUGAGGGCGAUGCUAGUGAAGAAGCUUCUCUCGCCGAUGAGACACUUGCAUCAGAAGUAGUGCUAACCCGGAAGAGGAAAAUAGGAAGCUCUUUGUCAGUAGAGCCAAACCAUCUCUUUGAUGAAUUUGAACCAAAGUUCGAGGAUGCUUAAACCUGCAGGAGUGGCCCCUCUGGAGUUGAAUAUGCAGUUAUAACCAAUUUUUACCCCUUUUAUCCUAGAAGAGUU